GUCCCCUCCCCCAGCUAAAAAUAACCUGCCGGGAGCGCCGGGCGUCCCUCCCGGCUCACGCAAGGACCGUGGGAGGGACUCGGCCCGCCACCCGGCGUGUCCCGCCACAGGCCGGCUUCCUGGGGGGGAUCGGGGUGGGGACGCGGAUCGGGCUGCACCUGGGUGAAGCGCGGUAGGGAAACAGAACUACUGCAGCGGAGCUGAAGGACUCGCUAGCACCUGCUGCCCCUCCCAACCACAGACCUGAAGCCAGGAGCUUCAGCCCCUGGCUCUGCACCCUUCAGUAUCCAGAAGGCACCAGAUCUUUCUGUUAAAAGAGAAGCUUUUAACAGCAAGCUACCUGGGCCCUAGUCUGUUGACUCAUUCAAACGACUUAUUCAGCUCCUAUUAUUUGCCAGCCACCAAGCACUAGGACACGACAACAAACAAACAAAAAAAACUCUGAAAAUGUGUGCUGUCUAGUUUUAUGUCAACUUGACACACGCCUCAAUUGAACCUCAACUGAAAAAAAAAGUGCCUCCAUAAGCUCUGGCUGUAAGGUAUUUUUUUAACUGUUGAUUGAUAAGGGAGGGCCCAGCCCGUUGUGGGUGAUGCCAUCCCUGGGCUGGUAGUCCUAGGUUCUGUAAAAAAGCAGGCUGAGGAAGCCAGAAAGCAGCCCCCUCCUCCAUGGCCUCUACAUCAGCUCUUGCCUCCAGAUUUCAGCCCUGCUUGAGUUCCUGACUUCCUUCAACUGAUGGACUAUGAUGUGGAAGUGUAAGCCAAAUAAACCCUUUCCUCCCCAAGUUGCUUUGGUCAUGGUGUUUCAUCACAGCAAUAGUAACCCUAACCAAGACACAAUUUAAAGACUGGGCCUUCAAGAGAUGAGAUGCACAUUUAGACUGGGAUAUAGCUCAUUUGGUAGAGUGCUUACCCAGCAUGCAUGAGACCCUGGUUUCUGUUCCCAGCACUGAGGACAAGUGGUCAUGGAAACACAAACCUGUAAUCCCAACACUCAGGAGGUGGACGGAGGCAGAAGCUCAGAAAUCCAAGGUCAUCCUUUGCACACAAGGAAACUGUUACACAACACAGUGCUCUUGACUGACAGGAAGCAAUGGAUGUAUCUCUGAACAGCUGCUGGAAAGAGGUAUAUGCUCUCACAAUGUCCUCCAGAUGGGCUCAACGGAUGCUGCUACCUCAAUCCCCUUAGCAACUGGGACUCCUGGUGGUACAGACCAUCACAACCACACUCCACUCCUUUUUAUUACCCCAAAUUUUGACACUGUAUUAAUAUUCAUUCUGUAUAUCCAUUCAUCAGUUGGACAUUGGGUUGUUUUCACUCUGGAGUUGCUAUGACUAAUGCUAUUAUAAAUAUUCAUGCUCAUGUGUUUGUAUCGAAAUAUGUUUUCUCUUGUGUAUUUGCCAAGAUGAUUUUAUGUUCCGCUUGUUGAUAAACCACCAGACAGGCUGGGCUCAAAGUCAUAAAGAUCCACCUGCCUCUGCCUCCUGAGUGCUAAGAUUAAAGACACAUGCCACCCUGUCUGACCCAGACUUUUAUUGUAACCACGGCAGUGUUUAUGAAAUGGAGUUUAAGUUUUUUUGUUUUGUUUUGGAGAUAGGGUGCCCUGUAUUCCACACUGGCCUCAACCUCCCUGUAAAGCCAAGGAUGACCUUGGACAUCUGAUGCUCCUGCCUCCACCUCCCGAACACUCAGAUUACAGGCAUGUGGACCAUCAUGCCUGGUUUAUGCCCUGCUAGAGAUCAAACCCUGGGCUUCACAAGUGCUAGGCAAUCUUUCUGCCAAUUGAGCUACAUCCUCAACCUUUGAUUAUGAUUUGAUUUGAUUUGAUUUGUAUUUCCCUGGGGGCUAAUGACAAUGAGUAUCUUUUCAUAUGAAUAUUGGCCACUUAAGUGUUUUCUUAGGAGAGACAUCUAUUCUUUUUUUUCUUUAGUUUCUUCCUUUUUUCCUCUUUACUGUUUUUGUUGUUUGUUUGUUUUUUAAUGGAUCAUUUUAUAACUCAGUCUGCCCUUAUAUUUAUGGUGAGCCUCCUGCCUCAACACCUCAAGUACUGGAAUCAUAGGUCUGCAACUCAAGGCCUGACGUUUUUGGCAUUUAUUAAUUGAAUUCUUUUUUUUCUUUUAUUGUUGAGAUGUAAGAGUCCUAAUAUAUUCCAGAUAUGAAUCCCUUUCAGAUAUAUGAUUUGUAAGUUUUUUCUCUAUUCUGUGUUGAAUUUUCACUUAAAAAUAUCUUUUUUUCCAUGUGUGUAUA